AUUGAACGCUGGCGGCAGGCCUAACACAUGCAAGUCGAGCGAGCGGCGGACGGGUGAGUAAUGAAUGGGGACUGCCAGAUAGAGGGGGAUAACUACUGGAAACGGUGGCUAAUACCGCAUACUAACGGAUAACCCAUAUGGGAUUAGCUAGUAGGUGGGGUAAAGGCUCACCUAGGAGAAGAUCUCUAGCUGGUCUGAGAGGAUGAUCAGCCACACUGGGACUGGGGAACGGCCCAAAAUCCUCCGGAGGCAGCAGUGGGGAAUAUUGCACAAUGCGCGAAAGCCUGGUGCAGCGACGCCGCGUGGGGGAUUAAGGCUUUCGGGUUGUAAACCUCUUUCGCUAUCGAACGGGUAGGUGGAGAAGAAGCGCCGGCUAACUACGUGCCAGCAGCCGCGGUAAUAC
rnacentral:rRNA from 1 species